rnacentral:misc_RNA from 1 species
UCCGACUUGACGUCGGCAGUCUCGUUAGAGUGCCCCACUUAAGGCUGGCAACUAACGACAGGGGUUUCGCUCGUUAAGGGACUUAACCCAACAUCUCACGACACGAGCUGACGACAGCCAUGCAGCACCUGUGUUCCAGUUCCCUUUCGGGCACAGCCGCCUUUCAGCAGCCUUCCGGACAUGUCAAGGGUAGGUAAGGUUUUUCGCGUUGCAUCGAAUUAAUCCACAUAAUCCACCGCUUGUGCGGGUCCCCGUCAAUUCCUUUGAGUUUUAGCCUUGCGGCCGUACUCCCCAGGCGGUCAACUUCACGCGUUAGCUUCGUUACCAAGGAAUUACUUCCCCGACAACCAGUUGACAUCGUUUAGGGCGUGGACUAC